rnacentral:rRNA from 1 species
UACGUAGGUGGCAAGCGUUGUCCGGAAUUAUUGGGCGUAAAGCGCGCGCAGGCGGUUAAUUAAGUCAGAUGUGAAAGGCUACGGCUCAACCGUAGAGUUGCAUUUGAAACUGGUUGACUUGAGUGCAGGAGAGGUAAGUGGAAUUCCCGGUGUAGCGGUGGAAUGCGUAGAGAUCGGGAGGAACACCAGUGGCGAAGGCGGCUUACUGGCCUGCAACUGACGCUGAGGCGCGAAAGCGUGGGGAGCAAACAGG